UGUGUUGUUGUUGUUUCGUGUUGAUGAAGAGAAUUCGGAUGCACUGCGAGAUUGAUGAUGAUUAUUGCGUCAUGAAGAACAUGUAAUGGAGACUGCAGAGAGAAUGUGCAGAGAAGUGAAGAUUCAAUGUUGACAAUUCGAGAUCAAAGAAAACGGUUAUUGCGAAGAGAAAUCGAAGAUGCCGUAAGGAAAUAUGCAGUGCGGUUCCAAGAGAGAACAAAGAGAAUUCUUGAGAUUGAAGGUUGGAGGAUCUUGCGAUGAUUGGAGAAGAUUGAAGAGAUGGUGGUGAUGAUGAACCGCGAUGGUGAUGAUUAUGCAGGUAGCAUUUUUGGAUGAAGAUGUGAUGAUUCUCGGCUGAGUCUCUUGAACGUCGAUGAUGAGAGGGAAGAGAAAGAUGCGGUUAUCGUUAUUCAAUUUCUUUUUUCAGAGAAGUCUCUUUUCAGAUUCUGUUUCAAUUUUCUGCAGAAUUGAAGAUGGGAGAAUGAUUGGUGAAGAAGAUGGAUGAGAAUUGAAGAUUAGAUUGGUCAAGAUAGUGAUUCAGAGAUGAUGUUGAUUCAAUUCGGUUUAGAGAGAAAGGGAGCAUUGAAUCGGGAGGGUUAUGCAGGGGUCAGACUUAAUACCGUUUCGGUUCGGUUUUUGUGUAGGGUUGGCUUGAUUUUGAGUUAUGUUGAAGAAUGGAUCGGUUUUUUUUCAGCCUGAAGGAUGAUGUUUAGCCAUUAUGACCAGUAGGCUAAGGCUAUCUUUUUGUGUAAUUUUUGUAAUGAAUGUAUUGUGAUUGUAAUGGACUGGACUUUGUAAUUUGAACUUUUGUAAUUUCGUAUGAAAUUGGUUUUGGAUUUUGGAUAAUGGUGAAUUUA